AACCAUCAACCUCGGGGUUUUCGAGCCUUGGGGAUUGGAGUUGGAGUGUGCUGGUGGAAACCCCCAUCGGCUCCUCUCAAAUGCAUAAGCGGGAAACCCUUUACUUCCGAAAGUCGGUGUGAUAAGGAUUUGUUACGCCGUCACAUAGGGACUUUGAAGGCCGCUCACAAUGGUCUUCGGACGACGUCUAUCAA
rnacentral:misc_RNA from 1 species